UGGGGAAUAUUGCACAAUGGGGGAAACCCUGAUGCAGCGACGCCGCGUGAGUGAAGAAGUAUUUCGGUAUGUAAAGCUCUAUCAGCAGGGAAGAUAAUGACAGUACCUGACUAAGAAACCCCGGCGCUUACGUGUUGCNGGCGCNNGNUUCAGACGGGCGGGGCAUCUUAUUCAUUNUUUUUUGGGGAGCGUAGACGANNNGAGNNGAUAUCUGAAGUGAAAUACCCGGGCUCAACCUGGGAACUGCUUUGGAAACUGUUGUUCUAGAGUGUUGGAGAGGUAAGUGGAAUUCCUGGUGUAGCGGUGAAAUGCGUAGAUAUCAGGAAAAAANGGAAANNAAAAGGUAUUUGAACAAAACNGGGGGUCCAAAGGGGGGGUAACCCAAAAAGACAAACCUUUACCACUAUCCUGGAGUCCGCGGGAAGAAAAAAAUUACUAGGUUCGGGGUGCAAAGCAUCUCGGUGCCGCCCCUAAACGCAAUAAGUAUUCCCCCCUGGGGGAGUACGUUCGCAAAGAAUG
rnacentral:rRNA from 1 species